UACGUAGGGUGCGAGCGUUAAUCGGAAUUACUGGGCGUAAGGUGUGCGCAGGCGGCCGCGCAAGUCGAGUGUGAAAGCCCCGAGCUUAACUUGGGAAUUGCGCUCGAAACUACGUGGCUGGAGUGUGGCAGAGGAAGGUGGAAUUCCAGGUGGAGCGGUGAAAUGCGUUGAUAUCAUCAGGAACACCGGUGGCGAAGGCGGCUUUCUGGGUCUUACCUGACGCUGAGGAACGAAAGCCAGGGGAGCGAACGGG
rnacentral:rRNA from 1 species